rnacentral:rRNA from 1 species
UACGGGGGGGGGAAGCGUUGUUCGGAAUUACUGGGCGUAAAGGGCUCGUAGGCGGCCAACUAAGUCAUACGUGAAAUCCCUGAGCUUAACUGGGGAACUGCGUGUGAUACUGGAUGGCUUGGAUUUGGGAGAGGGAUGCGGAAUUCCAGGUGUAGCGGUGAAAUGCGUAGAUAUCUGGAGGAACCCCGAUGGCGAAGGCAGGUCUCUGGGCAUUAACUGACGCUGAGGAGCGAAAGCAUGGGGAGCGAACAGG